rnacentral:lncRNA from 1 species
UAAAGUUACAAGAUAAGGAACAGUCAAAGGUAUGAUGUUAAAGAGUAGGUUUUAUCAUGUGUCAUAUGAUUAGAUGCCCCUAAAUCAAUGAUCCAGGUAACAGAAUUAAUAUGUGUAAGCAUGCAUAAUUUGGAAUCAGAAACAAGACUCUCAGUAAACAUAGUACCAGCAAAAUUAGCAGCACACAUGGGAGGAGGAGCUUAAUCACUGGAAUCCCCUGACUUGGUCUGUUGUAACAAGCUCAUCAAUUGAUCAUAGUGGUGUCUNNNN